rnacentral:rRNA from 1 species
CUCGUAGGCGGCCAACUAAGUCAGACGUGAAAUCCCUCGGCUUAACCGGGGAACUGCGUCUGAUACUGGAUGGCUAGAAGUUGGGAGAGGGAUGCGGAAUUCCAGGUGUAGCGGUGAAAUGCGUAGAUAUCUGGAGGAACACCGGUGGCGAAGGCGGCAUCCUGGACCAAUUCUGACGCUGAGGAGCGAAAGCCAGGGGAGCAAACG